CCCCAGCACCGCCCCUGCCCACAGACACCGCGGGGCGCGGCAUUCUGGCGCUGUCGCGCGCCGGUCGCUCUUGGAUGACGUUCGGGUCUCCGCGAGCUGCCAGCAUGGAGGAGGCCGCGGCGGGAAGCGGCGGUGGUAGCCCUGCCCUGGGACUGGCUCUCGGGGAGCUGCUGGGGGACGAAUGUUACGCUGAUUUUUUUAAGAGAAGACUUUGAUGUAAAGACUUAUACUUCUCAAUCUGUUCAUCAAGCUGUGAGCUGAACAGUUAGCAAAACUUGCUCAAGGAAUCAGUCAACUGGAUAAAGAGCUUCACUUACAAGUAGUUGCAACACAUGAGGACUUAUUGGCACAAACAACUGGGAUUGGAUCUCUGGAAGGUAUAAAUUCAUUUUGUGCUGGUUAAUUUUUAGUAUAAUGGAGACACUGUUAAUAGCUUCAUAGUUAAGGUGACAUCAGACUGCUGAGUAGUAACGUUACUACUGGACAGAGGUCUUAAUUUAUUAACUUACGGCAGUUUUCUUUAAUGUCAGCAGAUGGAGCUGUAAGGAGAGUAUUUUGUUAAUACUUUUUUUUUAACAUAAUUACACUAUAGAAAGAUUUGUUAAUGGAAGGAAUGUUCUAAGCAACUUAAAUAAUGCAAUCAAGUUUCUGUAAGUAUCUUCAAAACUCACACUGUUUUAAAAAUUUCAUACAGUAGCCACCAGUCUAUCAACUAACACCAUACAGCGACAUGUUGCCAUGAAUACCAGCUUUGUGAAUGGUGGAACAUGUUUCUAAUGUCAUUUAACCUACAAAUAAAGAACAAAGUAAUUAUUUUGUG